UGCUUAACACAUGCAAGUCGAACGCGAAAGGGACUUCGGUCCCGAGUAGAGUGGCGCACGGGUGAGUAACGCGUAAGUAAUGCUACCCCUGUAUCUGGAAUAACCCACCGAAAGGUGAGCUAAUACCGGAUACGUUUAUCUUGAUGCGAAUGAUGAUAAAGAAAGGUGGCCUCUUCAUGAAAGCUACCGUACAGGGACGAGCUUGCGUACCAUUAGCUGGUUGGUAGGGUAAUGGCCUACCAAGGCGACGAUGGUUAGCGGGUCUGAGAGGAUGAUCCGCCACACUGGAACUGAAACACGGACCAGACUCCUACGGGAGGCAGCAGUGAGGAAUAUUGCGCAAUGGGGGCAACCCUGACGCAGCGACGCCGCGUGGACGAUGAAGGCCCUUGGGUCGUAAAAUCCUGUCAGAUGGAAAGAAAUGUACAGGUGUUAAUAUCGCCUGUAUUUGAC
rnacentral:rRNA from 1 species